rnacentral:tRNA from 1 species
GUCCUGAUAGUAUAAUAAUUACUUUGGUCUUGUAAACCAAAAACGAAGAACUAAUCUUCUCAGGACA